rnacentral:rRNA from 1 species
AACGAACGCUGGCGGCAGGCCUAACACAUGCAAGUCGAGCGAAGCCUUCGGGCUUAGCGGCGGACGGGUGAGUAACGCGUGGGAACGUGCCCUUUGGUACGGAAUAGCCCCGGGAAACUGGGAGUAAUACCGUAUGUGGUCGAGAGACGAAAGAUUUAUCGCCAAAGGAUCGGCCCGCGUUGGAUUAGGGAGUUGGUGGGGUAAUGGCCUACCAAGCCGACGAUCCAUAGCUGGUUUGAGAGGAUGAUCAGCCACACUGGGACUGAGACACGGCCCAGACACCUACGGGAGGCAGCAGUGGGGAAUCUUAGACAAUGGGGGAAACCCUGAUCUAGCCAUGCCGCGUGAUCGAUGAAGGCCUUAGGGUUGUAAAGAUCUUUCAGUGGGGAAGAUAAUGACUGUACCCACAGAAGAAGCCCCGGCUAACUCCGUGCCAGCAGCCGCGGUAAAAC